rnacentral:rRNA from 1 species
UACGUAGGGGGCAAGCGUUGUCCGGAUUUAUUGGGCGUAAAGAGCGUGUAGGCGGUUAGGUAGGUCCGUUGUGAAAACUCGAGGCUCAACCUCGAGACGCCGAUGGAAACCAUCUGACUAGAGUCCGGAAGAGGAGAGUGGAAUUCCUGGUGUAGCGGUGAAAUGCGCAGAUAUCAGGAAGAACACCCGUGGCUAAGGCGGCUCUCUAGUACGUGACUGACGCUGAGACGCGAAAGCGUGGGGAGCGAACGGG